rnacentral:lncRNA from 1 species
AUUUUUUUUUAAUUAAUUAACUAAGCACGGCCACUGUGCCCGACUUCCACGACGCUUUUAUGUUUUUUUCCUAAUUUUAUCAUUUUAAUUAAUUAAUUACUUGACCAUUAACUUAAAUUCUUUCGUCCGGCGCAGGUUAGAGGCCCGCAGUUGAAAGAUACAGUCGACGUUACGGCUCUCAAGCCUUGCGUCCUCACUU